GACAUCAGGGAUUCGUUUUGUGAACCCUGACCUACCGCUAAGUAUGCGUUCAUACCCAGCUCUUUCAUCUGCUCUUCACCGAUCACGCGGGUGGUCAGUUUGCUGUCCGAAAUAUCAGCCAGUUGGCGAGCUUGCGAUGCUAAAUAGCCAGCGUUACAGAUAUUUGGUGGCAUAUUACCCAAAUCUUUAGC
rnacentral:antisense_RNA from 1 species